AUUGAACGCUGGCGGUAUGCUUUUCACAUGCAAGUCGAACGGCAGCACGGACUUCGGUCUGGUGGCGAGUGGCGAACGGGUGAGUAAUGUAUCGGAACGUGCCCAGUCGUGGGGGAUAACGUAGUGAAAAUUACGCUAAUACCGCAUACGAUCUAUGGAUGAAAGAGGGGGAUCGCAAGACCUCGCGCGAUUGGAGCGGCCGAUAUCAGAUUAGGUAGUUGGUGGGGUAAAGGCCCACCAAGCCAACGAUCUGUAGCUGGUCUGAGAGGACGACCAGCCACACUGGAACUGAGACACGGUCCAGACUCCUACGGGAGGCAGCAGUGGGGAAUUUUGGACAAUGGGCGAAAGCCUGAUCCAGCCAUUCCGCGUGCAGGAUGAAGGCCCUCGGGUUGUAAACUGCUUUUGUACAGAACGAAAAGGUUUCUACUAAUACUAGGAGCUCAUGACGGUACUGUAAGAAUAAGCACCGGCUAACUACGUGCCAGCAGCCGCCGUAA
rnacentral:rRNA from 1 species